rnacentral:rRNA from 1 species
AUGGUGAAACUGAAAUCAAUCACGGCCGAGUCGGCCGCGGGUGCUGACAGAUUUGUCGGCCGCGGUGUUUUAAACCGGUGUGGACGGGAGUGUCGACCGCGGGGUUAUAAACCGGUGUGGUCGCGAGAGACGGCCACGACAUUAACGGCACGACAGCAGCAGGUUGAAGUAGAAGCGAAAGUGCAGCGGUUCCCUGGCGUGGUACGCCGACUAGGCAGAGGCAAAGCAAGGGCUGGCGCCAGCGGUUCUCGGCCGAGGACAGGCCGGCUUGCCGACGCCGGAGGGGGUGACUCGCGGCGAGGUGCGACAACGGCUGGUCCAACCGCGGGGAGAGGCAUGCUCAGUGGAGAGAGGCACAGCGGCGGCUUGCGGCCGCAGAGACUGCAACUGCUCAGUGUGGAGAUGGCCGAGGAGAUGUACAUAGAGAAGCAAAAACGACCCGGCGAAUCAGACACGGUGGCUAGAUUUGACAACGGUGUAGUUGAAGUUCGAGUCGGCCUCGGUGUACUGCUGUAG